rnacentral:lncRNA from 1 species
GUACUUGAUGUUCAAAAGAUUAAUUCAUUAAGGGUUAAAGUGAAUGGAAACUGUGCACAAGGUAGGAAACCGGAAAAGAGGUGGUGAGUCCAUCGGACUGCUUAAGUACCAAGCUCCCUUCGGAUCCAAUCCUAGACAUGCAUACCGCCAUUGCCACACCUUAACGUCAUGGAUAUUUCUAGGAAACCGAUUUGAUUAAGUCAUUUUUAGGAAAAGUGAUUAAUUUUGGAAAAAUACUUUCAUUGCGGAAGCUUUGCUUGUUGUCGUGUUAUUUUGAAAUCAACUGUUGUUUUUGAAAACGCGCCCUAAAGCUAUCCAAUUUCAACAGUUAAAAUAAGUAUUACCUAUCUUAGUAAUACAUAUUAAAACCAUCAAAAAUAAUUAAGCGGCCUUAUUACAUUUAAAAACCUAAAACUUCAAACUUAAAUAAAAGGAUGUCCAGUUCACCAAAAGAAAAUCAAACUUUCAGAACGGGUGGCCACUCCGAAUUCCCUCACAGCUCCAAGCCCACUAUGGUUGGGGAUUUCCUGCGUGGAUGAAAAUAAAAGGGGUGAGUUUGGGGAAACUCAGUGUGUAAGGAAAACCCAUUCAAAGCCCAAGUUAGCUCAAGCCCAUUGGGCCUAAGCCCAUUCAGGUAACAGUGGUACUGGGCCAGAGCCCUUUUCAGAUUACAAUAAACUGGGCCUUAGCCCCUUAUUCAGAUAAUAGUAUGGCCCAUAGGCCCAUUUCAAAAUACAUGCAACAUCAGUAAACAUAUGCAAGCCCAUUUGGGUAACAGUGGUACUGGGCCGAGCCCUUUUCAGAUUACAAUAAACUGGGCCUUAGCCCCUUAUUCAGAUAACAGUAUGGCCCAUAGGCCCAUUUCAAAAUACAUGCAACAUUAGUAAACAUAUGCAAGCCCAUUUGGGGAGACUACUCAACCCACCAACCACUACACUCCACCCGUACCAGCCAUACACUCUAUGUGGGGAAUAGCUCAACCCACCCAGCCCAACACUCCACAGUUGCAGCCUUGCUGCUCAGUUAACAGUAAAUUGAGGCAAAGCCUCCAGUACGUGGACAAGCCACUUUCAAUACUUCCUACGUCAAUAUCCCAGUCUCAUGCAUCAGAUAAUAACAACAUGGCAUGCAGUAAAUAACAACAGUCAAACAUGCAUUUAGGUCAAUUUAACCCUAGGGGUAUUUCGGUAAUUUAUCUCCUAGGGGUAAAACUGUAAAUUUUUCACUUUUAAAGGUAUUUCAGUAAUUUAUCUAUUUUAGGGUUUUUCAUGCAUAUUCCUACCUUUCACGUACUAACAGAAUCACGACCGAGGGUUCUUACCGAAUUGGGCCCGUUGGCCCAUCAUUCCAAUUUUGGCCCAUUAAGCCCAAAAAUAUCGAGGGCACAGAAAUCAUGCACUUUGCAGUCCAAACAUUGCAGCUUACCAAAAACAUUAAUCGAUUUACCUCACGAGCAUUCGCACACUCGCAAAUCUACAAAAUACCGGUUUUCGGCAUUUCGGAUUUUCGGCUUUUGCCGAUCUAGACUAAGAAAGAGGGUGUUAGUUACACACCUGUUUGCGACGAUAUGCUGACGAGAUCCACACACGAACUGCCUUCAAUUGGAUUACUAGCACGUUAAUCUAACUAUUCAAAUACAAACUACGUAUUAACCCCUUAUAAUAUUCGGCCAACCACACCUACAGAUCAUAGUAAGCUUAUAAGAAAUCAAUAAGCAACUCAUUAAUAAAUUUUUGUCAAUGUUUACCACAUAAUCAUAAUUUCACUGCAAGCUGUCUUCCUGAGCAACAGUCACUAAAUUAUUUAUAACUGGAGCUACGAAACUCUAAAUCAAGUUCCGUUAAUUUUCCCUGAAAAUAGACUCAUAUAUCUUAUAUCCAUAAAAUUUUCAGAAUUUUUGGUUUAGCCAAUCAAUACCAGAUUUUUCUCAAAGUUUCCCAUGUUUCACUGUUUGACUAAUCUGACCACUCUUCAUUACGAAUCAAAUUUAUCAUUGUAAAGAAUUCAAAAUAUGUUCUUGUUUAUUUCAUUAGAAACUAGACUCAAUAAGAUUUAAUUACAUAAUUUAUUCAGCUUCUAAUUCAUCUCCCACAAUUUAUGGUGAUUUUCCAAAUUCAAGUUACUGCUGCUGUCCCAAGCAGAUUUAUUACCAAAUCACUCUUUCACACAUACCUUGCAUGCAUGUUAUUUAAACAUGUAUAUCACCAAUCAAUCAUCACAUAUCUAUGAUUUUACUUAAGAAUAAUCUCCAUUUCAUCAUUUUAAAGCACAGCAUGUUAGCUGAUUUUUCCCUUUAACAUCUAAGGCACAUGCAUGCUCAUUUGUUUGGCUCAACUUCACCUAUCUUCCAUUUUUUUUCAUCAAAAGAACAUGAAACAACAACCAUUUCCUUCAUUUUAAUUCAUGACUAAAUGCUCACAACACAACUAAAAACCAAAAUAUGCUUCAAGAGUUAAGGUAGAAUCAAGAAGAACUCAUGAACAUCAAGAUAGAAGCCAACUACCAUGAACUUACCUUCAAUUUUCUUCCCCAAGUGACCGAACACUCAAGAGCUUUCUCCUCUCCUUUCUCUUCUCUAACUUUCAGCUAUGAUGAACAAAGAUGGACAAAACUUUGUUCUUUUCACCCCUUUU